rnacentral:rRNA from 1 species
AUACGUAGGGUGCAAGCGUUAAUCGGAAUUACUGGGCGUAAAGCGUGCGCAGGCGGUUUUGUAAGACAGGGGUGAAAUCCCCGGGCUCAACCUGGGAACUGCCAUUGUUACUGCAAGGCUGGAGUGCGGCAGAGGGGGAUGGGAUUUCGCGUGGUGCAGUGAAAAGCGUAGAUAUGCGGAGGAACACCGAUGGCGAAGGCAAUCCCCUGGGCCUGCACUGACGCUCAUGCACGAAAGCGUGGGGAGCAAACAGGAUUAGAUACCCUGGUAGUCCACGCCCUAAACGAUGUCAACUGGUUGUUGGGGAUUUAUUUUCUCAGUAACGAAGCUAACGCGUGAAGUUGACCGCCUGGGGAGUACGGCCGCAAGGUUAAAACUCAAAUGAAUUGACGGGG